CCGGCGUGCCUAAUACAUGCAAGUCGAUCGAUGAUAGCCUAGCUUGCUAGGAAGGAUUAGAGGCGAACGGGUGAGUAAUACAUAAGCAACCUGCCCACGAAGACUGGGAUAGCCCCUGGAAACGGGGAUUAAGACCGGAUAGGUAAUAGAACCGCAUGAUUCUAUUAUUAAAGGUUUAAAACACUGGUGGAUGGGCUUAUGGCGCAUUAGCUAGUUGGUGAGGUAAUGGCCCACCAAGGCGAUGAUGCGUAGCCGGCCUGAGAGAGUGAACGGCCACAUUGGGACUGAGACACGGCCCAGACUCCUACGGGAGGCAGCAGUAGGGAAUUUUCGGCAAUGGGCGCAAGCCUGACCGAGCAACGCCGCGUGAGUGAUGACGGCCUUCGGGUUGUAAAACUCUGUUGUAAGGAAAGAACGGUACAUAGAAAAUAUGUAAGUGACGGUACCUUACCAGAAAGCCACGGCUAACUACGUGCCAGCAGCCGCGGUAAUACGUAGGUGGCAAGCGUUAUCCGGAAUUAUUGGGCGUAAAGGGUGCGCAGGCGGCCAGUUAAGUUUAUGGUGAAAGCGUGGAGCUCAACUCCAUCAAGCCGUAGAUACUGACUGGCUAGAGUACUGGAGAGGAAGUGGAUUCCAUGUGUAGCGGUAAAUGCGUAGAUAUAUGGAGGACACCAGAGCGAGCGGCUUCUAGACAGAUACUGACGCUCAGGCACGAAGCGUGGGGAGCAAUGAUAGAUACCUAGUAGUCACGCUGUAACAUGAUGCUAAUUUGGGGCACUC
rnacentral:rRNA from 1 species